rnacentral:rRNA from 1 species
UGGGGAAUAUUGGGCAAUGGGGGAAACCCUGACCCAGCAACGCCGCGUGAAGGAAGAAGGCUUUCGGGUUGUAAACUUCUUUUACCAGGGACGAAGGACGUGACGGUACCUGGAGAAAAAGCCACGGCUAACUACGUGCCAGCAGCCGCGGUAAUACGUAGGUGGCAAGCGUUGUCCGGAUUUACUGGGUGUAAAGGGCGUGUAGGCGGAGAUGCAAGUCAGAAGUGAAAUCCAUGGGCUUAACCCAUGAACUGCUUUUGAAACUGUAUCCCUUGAGUAUCGGAGAGGCAGGCGGAAUUCCUAGUGUAGCGGUGAAAUGCGUAGAUAUUAGGAGGAACACCAGUGGCGAAGGCGGCCUGCUGGACGACAACUGACGCUGAGGCGCGAAAGCGU